AGCGAAACGGGAAGAGCCCAAACCAACAAGCUUGCUUGUUGGGGUUGUAGGACACUCUAUACGGAGUUACAAAGGACGACAUUAGACGAAUCAUCUGGAAAGAUGAAUCAAAGAAGGUAAUAAUCCUGUAGUCGAAAAUGUUGUCUCUCUUGAGUGGAUCCUGAGUACGACGGAGCACGUGAAAUUCCGUCGGAAUCUGGGAGGACCAUCUCCUAAGGCUAAAUACUCUCUAGUGACCGAUAGUGAACCAGUACCGUGAGGGAAAGGUGAAAAGCACCCCGGAAGGGGAGUGAAAUAGAACCUGAAACCGUGUGCUUACAAGUAGUCAGAGCCCGUUAAUGGGUGAUGGCGUGCCUUUUGUAGAAUGAACCGGCGAGUUACGAUUUGAUGCAAGGUUAAGCAGUAAAUGUGGAGCCGUAGCGAAAGCGAGUCUGAAUAGGGCGUUUAGUAUUUGGUCGUAGACCCGAAACCAGGUGAUCUACCCUUGGUCAGGUUGAAGUUCAGGUAACACUGAAUGGAGGACCGAACCGACUUACGUUGAAAAGUGAGCGGAUGAACUGAGGGUAGCGGAGAAAUUCCA
rnacentral:rRNA from 1 species